rnacentral:rRNA from 1 species
CACCUGGUAUAUAGCGAGUUGAAUACACCGGUUCUCGUCCGAUCACCGAAGUUAAGCAACGUCGGGCGCAGUCAGUACUUGGAUGGGUGACCGCCUGAGAACACUGCGUGACGUUGGAU